rnacentral:lncRNA from 1 species
CUCCAGGGGUAUUUCACAUGGGCUCCCAGCCCUCUGCAUGUGCCUGGGCUGUUUCUCAGUUCCAGCCUGUUGAUCCCUGCACUGGCCAAGGGCUGAUGCUUCCCCUGCCAUGCUGACUUCAAGUCAUGCAGACACCUGAUGGAAGAGUCUUCCAGGCAGAAGGAAGGACAAAUACCCUUGAUAUACAUGUACUUGGCCGGCAUGAGGAAGAGCAAUGUGGAAGGAUACAGAUAGUUGGGAACAUAUAGUGCCUGUGAAUGACCAGUAUGCUCACUCCAAUAACAUCAGGCAAGCAAUUCCACAUAAUACUGAAGAAGGCUGUUGAAGUGACUGAAUCUGGCCAAAUAUUCUGAGCGUUUCGGAGGGAUUUUUAACAUUCUAAAUGCUAUCUGGAACAUCGAUGCAGCAUGGGAAGAAGUCACACAGCCAUGCAUGAACAGCAUUUGGAAGAAAGUUUUGAAGACAUAUGUGAACACAUUCAAAAUGUUAACAGAGAUUCUGCCGUAUUCAUAAGCUUGUUGGCAUCGAGGCUGAAGAGCUUUCCAAUGAGAAGCUGGAAAAAGAAAGAAGUAAAGAAGUUGGGGCAAAGAUAGAAGAAAUUGUUCCUGAGGCACCAAGAAAGUUCAUAGCAAAUAAACUGGCAGCGGUGUUUUCUACUAUCAGCAGUGGUGUGUGAAUGUUAGGACAAAUGGGUGACAAUUACAAUUGCUAUCACACACAUAUUGUUCCAUAGUCUCUCCUGUUCUUUGCCAGCCUUAUUACCUUUUCUUUUUUCCCUAUUAAUCCAAGAGCUCUAUGGGAGUAAAAAGGAUGCUCUUCCUUGCAAUGAAGAAAUAUGUAAUGAAAAGAAAAAACAUAUUGUCAAAACUUGGUAUCUACCUGAAGAACACUUUGCCUUCUAAACCAUAAACAAGUGUCAGUGUCCCAGUGCCUUCUGCCAGCUAUUCUCAAGACUCAUCAGAAGAGAGUGAAAUUGAUGACUCUGUAGCUGUAGCAUCCCCAUUAUCAGCACUUAAUUUUAGCUUAAUGCUUUGAACAUUCUUCAGGCUCAGUGUGCUUUCAUCUGUACACAUUAAUGGAAAUCUGGAGAUAGAAAGAUUUGGGUAUUGGUUCAGCAGCUCAAUGAUGCCAGGGCCAGUGUGUUGGCAUUCUUCUGGCCUUAUCCUCAUGGUUGCAAAUUGGUUCCUGCUGUCCCCAGUCAAAGGAGGAAGAAGAGGGAAUUGGCAGCAGUUAUCAGAGCCUUUAUCAGAAAAGCACAGAUUUCCCAGGAAUCCCCAGGAGACUUCUGGUUACAGUCCAUUGGCCAUAAUGUGGUCAAAUGGGCUUCCCUAUCAACAAGGGAGACAGAGAAAUUAAUUUAUUUCUUUGGAAAAUAAGAGAUAUGAUAUGAUCUAUAUCAAUACAGUAAUUAAUUCACCUGCAACAUGAUCGGCGAUGAAUCCUGGACUCGAAUCUUAAGAACCUAAGAAGAUGUGUGCUGGGGCAGACUGAAUCGUGGAAUUGCUUGCCCAGUUGGACUUCGGAUUUAUGACAGUGCUUUUUGGACUUUAAUGUAGAUAUAAAUCACCUGGGGAUCUGUUUAAAAUGUAGUUUCCUGGCCCAGCAGGGCUGUGAAGGGGCCUGAGAGUCUGCAUUUCUCACAAGCUCCCAGGUGCUGCUGAUACUGCUGGUCUGAUUGGGCCCAGAGGACAUUUUAUAAAUGACCUAUCUUCUUGCAAACUAAUGUUGCAGCUUCUUCUGGCACAGGGAGAGUUAGUGUGUGGCACUACUUCUUUGUUGUAUUUGUAUUCAUGCCUGGAUCAGAGGUCCUAGCCAAUAGUUCUCAGUUCUGGGCGCACAUCUGAAUCACCUGUAGGUGCUCUAAAGAAACAGCACUUGCCUGGGCUUGGCUCUCUGAAAGUUGGGUUUAAUGAACCACGGCCGUAGGCAAUGAAGUAAAACAGGUGCAGAAAUUGCUGUUCUAUUCUACACAGCGGAUCUAUGACAAGUGUGAAAUUUAUCAUCUAAAUGAUAAGAUGAUAAAAUGCAUGUGAAGAAGGACUUAACAUUAAAAUGAUUAAAAGAAAAAAAGCAAAUCUUGAUGUUGAUAUAAAAUAUGACGAACUACCUUCUCAAGAUGGAAAUCAAAGGUAGGCUUGCUCUGAAUGCACCUUUCUCUGGAAACACUCGUGUGUCUAAGUAAGUUGUUACUCAGAAGGAGAGUAGAAACUCGUGCCUAGUUACCUGGAUGAUUAGGUUGGCCAUCUUUAUUCCUGCAGUAACGGCACAUUUUCCAAAAUUAAGCCAUAGUUGAUCGGAUUAUUAUUCCCAUUUUUUAUUCUCUCCUGUGUUAUAGAAUUACAGGACAACCAUGUCCUUGCAAAGUGACUUUGCAGUGCCUCCCAAAACGCAGGGAGAGUAGAUUUCCUUAUCUGACUGAUGUUGGGCUCAGCCAAUGGAAUAUCAUAAUGCAAGCAGAGACUUCAAAUGUUCUCAAGGGGUUUUUUUGGCUUCUAGUACUGUUGCCAUUUCACAAUAAAAUUAUACCCAGGGUAGCAGAGGUUCUGAUUCAGAAGAUCUGGGGUGCCGCUCAGGUAUCUGCACUUAUUAAAUAUUUAACACAGGUAAUUCACUGACUUCUUGGUUUAAAGGACGAGAAAGUAAAACACAUAACAUAGAUGCAUUUUGUCCAAUGCUUUUACAUUCUUUUAACUAAACAUCUAGAAUACAUCAUCUUAUCUGAUAAUUACUAUGAUGGAGUUGACACCAUUUAAUUGUGGAGUGACAUUGUGGUUAGUUUUUCAUAAAGUCAAAGUAUUCCAUUGAAAGAUUUUUUUAUUUUGAGAAUGUAAUAUUUUCUUUUGCUUUUUUUGUUGUUGUUUGAAUUGUUUCUUUCAUGGAAUGGUGGUGACAGUUGGUUAGCUAUUUUUUUUAACUUGGGAAAAUUAAAAGUUGGAAAUCUUAUGUCUGUUUCCAAUUUUGGUGGGGUAUAGGAGUAAGUGCAGAAUUUUUAUAGUACAAGAACCCAAAAGCUAGGGAACCACCUUUACAAUCUAUUAACUUCAUUCAAUGUGGAUCAAUCAAACAUAGAAGAAGAUUAGCUGAUGAUUAAACUAACUUGCAUGUAAGGAUCUUUCCUAGUGUCUGGUAGCAUAAGCAAAAUAUGCCUGAAAGGAAAUCCAUACUAAUUAGCUCCUAUAUGUUAGGACCAUAUUUUCCUAUCAAUUUUUGUUGUGAACUACAUCUUAAGUCAGUGAAAUUUCUCUGCAGAAAACAAAGAUGGAGAAAUAGAUUUUAGCCUAGCAAAUGUAGUGUUUACAUUAGAUUCCACCUGACUACAUAAAAAUGUCAAAAACAUUCUUCCUAAUAGUGUUAUGAGAUGUUUGAAAGUAAUAAGCUGUUAAUUCCUUUUUCUGGGAUUUCUAGCUGACUUAAAAUAAUGAUAAUAUCACUGAUAUAUUUUCAAUGUUAAAAAAAGGUUGGCAACAUCUUCACAAAUAUGCAGUACUGCAAAAUGGAGACAAAUUAUACCAGUUGGCCAUGAAUAGGUUGUCCUGUUUAUUGUUUGGAGGGGCAUUAACUCUCUCAAACCCAUGAGGCAGCUGUGGUAUGCACAGGGCCCAGUCCUGGCUUUGUGUCUGGCCACCUGUGUGACCUUGGACAAGUUGUUUAAUGUUUCUGGGCCUCAAUUUAUCAGUAAAAGGAAGGGUUUAGAUUAGGUGGUUUUUCAAUAUUUUACCAGAUCAGAAAUUCUGUAAUUUUUUUUUACAUUCAUAUAAAAACAUCUUCAGAUAAAGAGGGAAAAAAAUAAGGUGAGUUUGGCUGAGUUAUUGCUCACCACUUCCUCGGUAAGAGAGUGCACUUGGGAUGAUGGAACGUAGCCACAGGAGGGUUAAUUCACUUGCCCCAGAUCAUACAUUUAUUUAGUGUAAAUGUAUUUAUUUAGUGUAAGGACUUAUUGAAAUUAUUUUUACCCUUUUCAUAUGGAUUAUGACAUUCAGGAGAAUUUUUUUGAUUUACAAUUAAAAUGAACUCUAUCUAAACACUAAGUGCCCUGACUUUAAACACUAAAUGCCCUGACUUUAAAAAGUAUUUAAAUCCUCCCUUUAAAAGAUAAACAAAAACCAAUAAGUUGGGAAGCUGCACCCCUUGCGUUUUCUCCAUUGCUACUCUACAUGCACUUGAGUGUAUGUGGGAGUGAGUAGAAAAGGCACAUCAUCUUUUCUCCCAUCACUUUUUACUCACAUUCAUUAUAAUAUAGGAAUUAUCUCAGACCUAUACAACAUUGCCCAAAUGAAACCUUGCUAUUCUCAGUUUUCAGAUCAGGAGAAUGAAGUACAGAAAUGUUAAUUAGUUCUCAAGGACACACAGAAAAUUACAAUUAAGGCCAGGAUUAGACUCUAGGCUUCCUGACUUCCACACCUUUCUUUCGUUAGGCUGUUUUUCUUUCGUGGUGUCAGUUUAGAUUACUCAUUCUUUUGAAGGACUUGGGGACUCUUAGGAAAUGCAUCAUUAAUAAUCCCAGCAUCCCUGGACGUGGGCACAGGUGGCAUUCCCAGGUAACAGAUGACGGGUUUUGAGCAGGAUGUUGGGGAGGUUGAAGCAUAAAUUAAUAGGACAGUAAAUGAAGGUGUGAGGACAGCCUGGGCUGUUACCAAAAAUCUAGCAAGCACUUUAGCACUGGGAUUCCCUUUUCCCCCUGAGCUGCCUACUCCAGAUGACCACCAAGCAUUUGUUUUUAAUCUAGUGCUGUCCCUGCAACUAAUAUUCAAGGGCAUAAAGAACUUGUUGCUUCUGUUUUGAUUUUUUUUUUUUUUUUUUUUUUUUUGCUUAGAAACAGCAGAUUUGAGUGUAGUUUGUAAGAGUUUCAUUGAACGGUACUGCACAAAUAGUAUUUAAACGUUUCCCCAACCCUAAUUAGAAUAUUGUUUUAUUACACUGCACGUUUCCUAAAUCUCACACUAAUUAAAUGUAUAUUGUACUUCAUUAUUACCAACAAAAACUAUCUGUGCUCAAGAUUUAUGAUUAUGUACUGCAGUGGUUGACGACUGUAUCAGCAUUUCAAUUGCAAAGACAUUUCAGAAGUUUAGAGCUUAUCUUGAAAAUUAAUUGCAUCUGAAAACCUGGCACAGCCUGUUCUUACACAGACCAGCCUGGGUCCCCCUUGUGGCUCCCGGCUCCUUUUUCUGGAACAGUUGCCAGGAGAGUGGAGUGAGGAGUGGAAGUAAGUAAAAGGAGGUAAGUAAAAGGAGGGUGGAUGGGGGAGAGUGGAAUGCCAUCCUUUUCUCAGAGCCUUUCCACCAAUCAUUGGAAUCUAUCUGAAAAUUUCUCUCUGCCUAAUGAAUACGGUGAGUGGACGGAGGCUUGGUUCCCAGCACUCCAUUAGCAAGCCAGCCAGGUGCUGGCUGCUGUCUAAACUGGCAUCCUUUUUCUUUUGUUUUUUAUUUUUUGAAGCAAAGAUUUUUAGCAUUUGGUUUGUUUUUAGUUGAUCUCAGCUGUGGAGUCAAGAUACGCAGGUAUUUGUUGGCUUAGAAGUAGAUGGAUGACCCUUGAAGGUAACUGGACUUUUUCCUGCCAGCUUGUCUGCUCAACUUUCCAAAGGGAAGACAGGGAACAUUAAUUGACAGCUACUCUGGCUAGUGGCCUGACAACUCAGGUAGGUGACAUUUCUGCUUUGUGAGUUUUUAUUGAACUCUGCCCAGGAGCAUGAAAGAGCAGUUUUUCAAAGAAAAAAACCAAGAGAGUUUACCUUUUUUA